rnacentral:rRNA from 1 species
UACGUAGGUGGCAAGCGUUGUCCGGAAUUAUUGGGCGUAAAGCGCGCGCAGGCGGUUUCUUAAGUCUGAUGUGAAAGCCCACGGCUCAACCGUGGAGGGUCAUUGGAAACUGGGGAACUUGAGUGCAGAAGAGGAGAGCGGAAUUCCACGUGUAGCGGUGAAAUGCGUAGAGAUGUGGAGGAACACCAGUGGCGAAGGCGGCUCUCUGGUCUGUAACUGACGCUGAGGCGCGAAAGCGUGGGGAGCAAACAGG